GGGUUGUGAGGUUAAGCGACUAAGCGUACACGGUGGAUGCCCUGGCAGUCAGAGGCGAUGAAGGACGUGCUAAUCUGCGAAAAGCGUCGGUAAGGUGAUAUGAACCGUUAUAACCGGCGAUGUCCGAAUGGGGAAACCCAGUGUGAUUCGUCACACUAUCGUUAACUGAAUACAUAGGUUAACGAGGCGAACCGGGGGAACUGAAACAUCUAAGUACCCCGAGGAAAAGAAAUCAACCGAGAUUCCCCCAGUAGCGGCGAGCGAACGGGGAGCAGCCCAGAGUCUGAAUCAGCUUGUGUGUUAGUGGAACGGUCUGGAAAGUCCGACGGUACAGGGUGAUAGUCCCGUACACCAAAAUGCACAGGCUGUGAACUCGAAGAGUAGGGCGGGACACGUGGUAUCCUGUCUGAAUAUGGGGGGACCAUCCUCCAAGGCUAAAUACUCCUGACUGACCGAUAGUGAACCAGUACCGUGAGGGAAAGGCGAAAAGAACCCCGGCGAGGGGAGUGAAAAAGAACCUGAAACCGUGUACGUACAAGCAGUGGGAGCACCUUCGGGUGUGACUGCGUACCUUUUGUAUAAUGGGUCAGCGACUUAUAUUCUGUAGCAAGGUUAACCGUAUAGGGGAGCCGCAGGGAAACCGAGUCUUAACUGGGCGUUAAGUUGCAGGGUAUAGACCCGAAACCCGGUGAUCUAGCCAUGGGCAGGUUGAAGGUUGGGUAACACUAACUGGAGGACCGAACCGACUAAUGUUGAAAAAUUAGCGGAUGACUUGUGGCUGGGGGUGAAAGGCCAAUCAAACCGGGAGAUAGCUGGUUCUCCCCGAAAGCUAUUUAGGUAGCGCCUCGUGAACUCAUCUUCGGGGGUAGAGCACUGUUUCGGCUAGGGGGUCAUCCCGACUUACCAACCCGAUGCAAACUACGAAUACCGAAGAAUGUUAUCACGGGAGACACACGGCGGGUGCUAACGUCCGUCGUGAAGAGGGAAACAACCCAGACCGCCAGCUAAGGUCCCAAAGUCAUGGUUAAGUGGGAAACGAUGUGGGAAGGCACAGACAGCCAGGAUGUUGGCUUAGAAGCAGCCAUCAUUUAAAGAAAGCGUAAUAGCUCACUGGUCGAGUCGGCCUGCGCGGAAGAUGUAACGGGGCUAAACCAUGCACCGAAGCUGCGGCAGCGACACUAUGUGUUGUUGGGUAGGGGAGCGUUCUGUAAGCCUGCGAAGGUGUGCUGUGAGGCAUGCUGGAGGUAUCAGAAGUGCGAAUGCUGACAUAAGUAACGAUAAAGCGGGUGAAAAGCCCGCUCGCCGGAAGACCAAGGGUUCCUGUCCAACGUUAAUCGGGGCAGGGUGAGUCGACCCCUAAGGCGAGGCCGAAAGGCGUAGUCGAUGGGAAACAGGUUAAUAUUCCUGUACUUGGUGUUACUGCGAAGGGGGGACGGAGAAGGCUAUGUUAGCCGGGCGACGGUUGUCCCGGUUUAAGCAUGUAGGCUGGUUAUCCAGGCAAAUCCGGAUAAUCAAGGCUGAGGUGUGAUGACGAGGCACUACGGUGCUGAAGUAACAAAUGCCCUGCUUCCAGGAAAAGCCUCUAAGCAUCAGGUAACAUCAAAUCGUACCCCAAACCGACACAGGUGGUCAGGUAGAGAAUACCAAGGCGCUUGAGAGAACUCGGGUGAAGGAACUAGGCAAAAUGGUGCCGUAACUUCGGGAGAAGGCACGCUGGUGUGUAGGUGAAGCCCCUGCGGGUGGAGCUGAGACCAGUCGAAGAUACCAGCUGGCUGCAACUGUUUAUUAAAAACACAGCACUGUGCAAACACGAAAGUGGACGUAUACGGUGUGACGCCUGCCCGGUGCCGGAAGGUUAAUUGAUGGGGUUAUCCGUAAGGAGAAGCUCUUGAUCGAAGCCCCGGUAAACGGCGGCCGUAACUAUAACGGUCCUAAGGUAGCGAAAUUCCUUGUCGGGUAAGUUCCGACCUGCACGAAUGGCGUAAUGAUGGCCAGGCUGUCUCCACCCGAGACUCAGUGAAAUUGAACUCGCUGUGAAGAUGCAGUGUACCCGCGGCAAGACGGAAAGACCCCGUGAACCUUUACUAUAGCUUGACACUGAACAUUGAGCCUUGAUGUGUAGGAUAGGUGGGAGGCUUUGAAGCGUGGACGCCAGUCUGCGUGGAGCCAACCUUGAAAUACCACCCUUUAAUGUUUGAUGUUCUAACGUUGGCCCCUGACCGGGGUUGCGGACAGUGUCUGGUGGGUAGUUUGACUGGGGCGGUCUCCUCCCAAAGCGUAACGGAGGAGCACGAAGGUUAGCUAAUCCUGGUCGGACAUCAGGAGGUUAGUGCAAUGGCAUAAGCUAGCUUGACUGCGAGCGUGACGGCGCGAGCAGGUGCGAAAGCAGGUCAUAGUGAUCCGGUGGUUCUGAAUGGAAGGGCCAUCGCUCAACGGAUAAAAGGUACUCCGGGGAUAACAGGCUGAUACCGCCCAAGAGUUCAUAUCGACGGCGGUGUUUGGCACCUCGAUGUCGGCUCAUCACAUCCUGGGGCUGAAGUAGGUCCCAAGGGUAUGGCUGUUCGCCAUUUAAAGUGGUACGCGAGCUGGGUUUAGAACGUCGUGAGACAGUUCGGUCCCUAUCUGCCGUGGGCGCUGGAGAAUUGAGGGGGGCUGCUCCUAGUACGAGAGGACCGGAGUGGACGCAUCACUGGUGUUCGGGUUGUCAUGCCAAUGGCACUGCCCGGUAGCUAAAUGCGGAAGAGAUAAGUGCUGAAAGCAUCUAAGCACGAAACUUGCCCCGAGAUGAGUUCUCCCUGAGACUUUAAGUCUCCUGAAGGAACGUUAAAGACGAUGACGUUGAUAGGCCGGGUGUGUAAGCGCAGCGAUGCGUUGAGCUAACCGGUACUAAUGAACCGUGAGGCUUAACCUUACAACGCCGAAG
rnacentral:rRNA from 1 species